UAAGAGUCAAAUGCUUUAUACUUAAGGAUAAGCUGUGAAGGUACCAAGUUUACUGGGAAUGUGUGACUCACGCUGACUGAAAAAAGUUCGUAGGAAGAAGAUAUCGCCCGUACCGCAAACCGACACAGGUACUCGAGUGGAGAACACUAAGGUGAGCGAGUGAACUAUUGUUAAGGAACUCUGCAAAAUGAGUCCGUAACUUCGGAAGAAGGACUGCUGGCAUUUGCCAGCCGCAGCGAAUAGGCCCAAGCAACUGUUUAUCAAAAACACAGGUUUCUGCAAAAUCGUAAGAUGAAGUAUAGGGGCUGACGCCUGCCCAGUGCUGGAAGGUUAAAAGGAGGACUUAGCUUCGGCGAAGGUCUGAAUUGAAGCCCCAGUGAACGGCGGCCGUAACUAUAACGGUCCUAAGGUAGCGAAAUUCCUUGUCGGGUAAGUUCCGACCCGCAUGAAAGGCGUAAUGAUUUGGGCGCUGUCUCGACAAUAGACUCGGUGAAAUUUAAAUUCCAGUGAAGAUGCUGGGUACCCGCGACAGGACGGAAAGACCCCGUGGAGCUUUACUGUAGCUUGAUAUUGAAUGUUUGUGCUGCAUGUGCAGGAUAGGUAGGAGACUUUGAAGUCGGAACGCUAGUUUCGAUCGAGUCACCCUUGAGAUACUACCCUUGUUGUAUGAACGUUCUAACUCUGAUCAGUUAUCCUGAUCGAAGACAGUGUCUGGCAGGCAGUUUGACUGGGGCGGUCGCCUCCUAAAUAAUAACGGAGGCGCUCAAAGGUUUGCUCAGAAUGGUUGGAAAUCAUUCUUUGCGUGUAAAGGCAUAAGCAAGCUUGACUGUGAGAUCGACAGAUCGAGCAGGUACGAAAGUAGGACUUAGUGAUCCGGUGGUUCCGUAUGGAAGGGCCAUCGCUCAACGGACAAAAGCUACCCCGGGGAUAACAGGCUCAUCUCCCCCAAGAGUCCACAUCGACGGGGAGGUUUGGCACCUCGAUGUCGGCUCAUCGCAUCCUGGGGCUGUAGUCGGUCCCAAGGGUUGGGCUGUUCGCCCAUUAAAGCGGUACGCGAGCUGGGUUCAGAACGUCGUGAGACAGUUCGGUCCCUAUCCGUCGUGGGCGCAGGAAAUUUGAGAGGAUCUGUCCUUAGUACGAGAGGACCGGGAUGGACAUACCUCUGGUGUACCAGUUGUUCUGCCAAGAGCACCGCUGGGUAGCUAUGUAUGGAUUAGAUAAUCGCUGAAGGCAUCUAAGUGAGAAACUAACCUCAAGAUGAGAUUUCCCAUUCGUUAGAAGUAAGACCCCUGAGAGACGAUCAGGUAGAUAGGCUAGAAGUGGAAGCGUAGUGAUGCGCGCAGCGGACUAGUACUAAUAGGUCGAGGACUUAACCAAG
rnacentral:rRNA from 1 species